rnacentral:tRNA from 1 species
AGCAGAGUGGCGCAGCGGAAAACGUGCUGGGCCCAUAACCCAGAGGUCGAUGGAUCGAAACCAUCCUCUGCUA